UACGGGGGGGGGCAAGCGUUUGUUCGGAAUUACUGGGCGUAAAGGGCUCGUAGGCGGCCAACUAAGUCAGACGUGAAAAUCCCUCGGCUUAACCGGGGGAACUGCGUCUGAUACUGGAUGGCUUGAGUUUGGGAGAGGGAUGCGGAAUUCCAGGUGUAGCGGUGAAAUGCGUAGAUAUCUGGAGGAACACCGGUGGCGAAGGCGGCAUCCUGGACCAACACUGACGCUGAGUGAGCGAAAGCCAGGGGAGCAAACGGG
rnacentral:rRNA from 1 species